AACGCACAUUGCGCCCCCCGGUAUUCCGGGGGGCAUGCCUGUCCGAGCGUCAUUGCACCCCCUCAAGCCCGGCUUGUGCGUUGGGCCGCGUCCCCCCGGGGGACGGGCCCGAAAGGCAGUGGCGGCGUCGUGCUCCGGUGCCCGAGCGUAUGGGGCUCUGUCACCCGCUCUGGAGGCCCGGCCGGCGUCGGCUUCAGCGUCUGACCUUCUGUGGUUGACCUCGGAUCAGGUAGGGAUACCCGCUGAACUUAA
rnacentral:misc_RNA from 1 species